GAUCUGGUGUCUCUGUGGCUAUGGCGUAGGCCGGCAGCCGUAGCUCCCAUUCGACCAACAGGCUCUCAGGUCCACCUCCUCUCCCCGUGGUCCUGUGCUGCCGCUUCCUACCCUGCUCCUCGGCAGCUCAGUGCAACUCUCCUGUCCCCCUGCAUCCUCCCUGGUCGCACGCAGAGAGCAUCUGUGCAAAGACGCGGCCACCCAGACCCCUUAGCUCACAGAGGAUGCCCUGAACGGACUCCCAGGGAGCCUACAGAAGACCACGGACUUGGGAAGGCACUGUGAACUGCUUGGCAGCAUCUGCAAGAUGGGGUUUGGCUUCAGGUCUGUGUCCUGCCCGCCACCCUCAGGCCCCGGUGGGCUCAGGAGGGCCUCGGGCACAGCCUGAGGGGCCUCGACCCUGCCACAGUGCAGAGCAAAGUCAGAGAUGGGUGGAGGCAACUGCUGCUCCGGGUGGGAGCUGAUGACAUCCCGCCUGUCGUGUAGACAUCUGGGUUACCUGGCCCUGGGGUUGCCAAUAAUCUCAGUCAGGUCGAAGCCUCCACUCGGAGACGUUUGGGGCAGAAACCUGCUGAUUUACCCCUUGUUUUAACUCUUGGGGAACAAGGGGAUUGCUGACUGCUCCCACUGGCAGGGAGCAGGGAGUGGAAAGAGAAUAGCCCUCGAGGGAGAGGCCAGGGAGCCCGUCUGCUCUGGCUCUGCACCAUCCAGCACAGUGGCCUCAGCCUGUCCCAACUGCGAUGUGCGAAUGUGCACAAGAAACACCUGAUUUCAAAGACGUUGUUGAAAAAAAUGUCAAAUAUCUUUCUAAUAAUUUUAUAUUGAUUGCCUCUGGAAAUUAUGUUUUAGAUGUGUUAAGGUAAAUAAAAUAUAUUAUUAAAUGUA